AACGAACGCUGGCGGCAUGCCUAACACAUGCAAGUCGAACGAGACCUUCGGGUCUAGUGGCGCACGGGUGCGUAACGCGUGGGAACCUGCCCUUAGGUUCGGAAUAACUCCCCGAAAGGGGUGCUAAUACCGGAUAAUGUCUUCGGACCAAAGAUUUAUCGCCUUUGGAUGGGCCCGCGUUGGAUUAGCUAGUUGGUAGGGUAAAAGCCUACCAAGGCGACGAUCCAUAGCUGGUCUGAGAGGAUGAUCAGCCACACUGGGACUGAGACACGGCCCAGACUCCUACGGGAGGCAGCAGUGGGGAAUAUUGGACAAUGGGCGAAAGCCUGAUCCAGCAAUGCCGCGUGAGUGAUGAAGGCCUUAGGGUUGUAAAGCCCUUUUACCCGGGAUGAUAAUGGCAGUACCGGGAGAAUAAGCUCCGGCUAACUCCGUG
rnacentral:rRNA from 1 species